AUCCAGCUGACGAGUCCAAAAUAAGAUGAAACGCGCAUCAAACUGCAU
rfam:Schistosoma mansoni, Puerto Rico, WGS project CABG01000000 data, contig: 0041